GCUCAAGAAGCAAACCUAUGCCGACAUUAUGUUGCUUCAACCGCUGAAUGAGAAGGUUAUCUAUACUCUCUAAAUGCUUCAACUCUUAGCAAGGAGUGGACUGAGAUGGGUCCCUUUCUGGAACAGACUGUUGCAUCAUUUCGCCUUCCUCCUCCCACUGAUAAUUAUGUUCAUACAAGGAUCCAUGUAAAUUUUGGUGACAACCCCUUUUUUCUUUUUCUUUUUUUUGUUUCCAUUGAUGUUGAUAACAAGUGUAAAAUUUAAAGGGUUUCAACACUCUGUUAUCAUUGAUUAUCCUCUUCUUUUCCCCCCUUUUUUCUCUUAUUGCGGACCACAUUUUGAAAUU